AGAUUUUGUCGCUAUCCAGCCCAGAUUGGUAGUGACUAAAACUUAUUAUCUUAUGGUGGCUGUUUGGUGGCCUCAGUCCAGUUUCCAGUGAACAAGUAUCCACACAACAAAAUCUACCAACAUAGUUAGCGAUCUCAGCAGAGACCAAGGACUGAUCGGGGAUGGAGCCGAAACUAUUCUCUCAUUGCUAGAAGUGAUCCCCCUACAGAUUCUGCACUGCAAGCUUACCACAUGUUUUAUAUAUGUUUUAGCCCAGACACUGGUACCAUCCAUCCACGCACAAAACCUCAGACAUGUGCUUGUAUGCCUUUUGAAUAAGUGCUCGCAUGUGUGACUGGGGGUGUGGGUUAAAUCAGGUUUUUCUUUAAAGUGUGUUCCUACCCACUCACUUUUCAGUGAGGAUGCAGCUAAAACGUGUGUUGCUGAGUUUGUGUUUAGAUAGUCCUCCAGUGGCUUCCCACAAUUCCUGGAGCCUGUGUGUUCCAGCCCUUCUAACUACUUACAAUACAUCAGCAUUUACCCCUUGAUUCUAUGCCACCUUCUCUAUUUCCUGCCCAGCUCAGCCCAUCUGUGCAAAACAACAUUACAAGCUGCCUACCCAGUGUGCUGCUAGUUCACCAAAGGAGCUCACCAGGUGUCUCAUUAACCUCUGGUUUGAGUACAGCAGGGAGUGUGAUUUUUAGGAGAAGUAGCCAAAAUCUGCACUAGUAUGAGACUACCUUGAAGAGACUGGUCGAGGUGGGGAUCAGUUGGACUGGUAUUCAAUGCAGGGGGCAGAUCGAAUGUAUAAAAACCCUCUGUCACAAGGCAAUAGCAGUGUGCUAUAUCUGUUCUGCUGAUAAACAAGGGACUUCAGUCUCCAGGACUGUGAAUGUGAAGCCUUCCACAAGCAAUGAAUCCACAUCCAAAUUGUAAAAAAGUAAAAGUUUUCAUUUCAAUUUUGAACGUUAUUCCAGGGAUGCAGAGUAGCUGCAGGGGACUUCUGGACAAAUAAGUUCAGCCUGAGGCAGAAUGAACUUUUUCUGCUGAUUCCUUCUGCAGUUCAUGGGGGAAUGAUGGCAUCUCUCAGCUUUUCCCGCCUGUUCCCAUUCAUCUACUCAGUGAUUCUGGGCUGCUGUCCCCUUUCUGCACAGAAAGGGUGAUAUCUGCAUAGAGGAUCAUCUCUACUAAUGGAUCUCCAGGGCACUAUAUGGCCUCAAGUUAAGGAUCUCAGUACUUGUUCCUGAGAUUGUAUGCUUUGGGGGGACAUGACUGUAUCUGUCAUUUGUAAAUAAAGCACAGUGCACAC